UCCCUCCUUUCCUCCCUCCUUUCCUCCCCCUCCCUCCUUUCCUCCCUCCUUUCUACCUACACCUUGUUUACAAAUUAACCUGAUCAGAGGUGUUUGUUACAUAUCUCAGUUUUGUAUUUAUAAGAAGAAGAAAAAAUAUUCAGAAAUGCAACCCAUGAAAAAGGCAGUGGCAUCUGCAGGUUGUGGGAUUUAGCCCCAUCCUGCAGGUUCUGGGGGUUAAGUCCCAUCCAGUCUGCAGGUUGUGGGAUUUAGCACCAUCCUGCAGGUUCUGGGAGUUAAGUCCCAUCCAGUCUGCAGGUUGUGGGAUUUAGCCCCAUCCUGCAGGUUCUGGGGGUUAAGUCCCAUCCUGUAGGCAGGUUGUGGGAUUUAGCACCAUUCUGCAGAUUCUGGGGGUUAAGUCCCAUCCAGUCUGCAGGUUGUGGGAUUUAGCACCAUCCUGCAGGUUCUGGGGGUUAAGUCCCAUCCAGUCUGCAGGUUGUGGGAUUUAGCACCAUCCUGCAGGUUCUGGGGUUAAGUCCCAUCCAGUCUGCAGGUUGUGGGAUUUAGCACCAUCCUGCAGGUUCUGGGGUUAAGUCCCAUCCAGUCUGCAGGUUGUGGGAUUUAGCACCAUCCUGCAGGUUCUGGGGGUUAAGUCCCAUCCAGUCUGCAGGUUGUGGGAUUUAGCACCAUCCUGCAGGUUCUGGGGUUAAGUCCCAUCCAGUCUGCAGGUUGUGGGAUUUAGCACCAUCCUGCAGAUUCUGGGGGUUAAGUCCCAUCCAGUCUGCAGGUUGUGGGAUUUAGCACCAUCCUGCAGGUUCUGGGGUUAAGUCCCAUCCAGUCUGCAGGUUGUGGGGUUUAGCCCCAUCCUGCAGGUUCUGGGGGUUAAGACCCUGCCCUGUGUUUGCUGAACCAUCAGUGGGCAUGGCAACACGUAUCCUGGCUACACCACUGCGUGUCUCUGUCCCUACCCUCUACAUCCUCUGCUUCCAUAGGUGUUGUGAUGAGAUAGCCCCUCCCCUGUCCUUGUAUGUGCAUGCACGAUGGUUCUUCCACUUAACAAUAACAAUCAAUAAAGUUUGUCAAGAUAA